rnacentral:rRNA from 1 species
AUGGAGUCAAGGUGUUUCGAUGUCCCGGCACCAAAAAAAUUUGUGCACAUUUAUGCCAGGCUUUGGAUGAUGAGCAUCCAGAGAGGUGUCUUUCAACUUGAUGUUGAAUUACAUUUACUGGUUGAGGAUUUGAUUUCCUCUGUUUCCGCGGAAGUAUAUGAGAAGUUAUAUCUCGUGUUGUCAGAUUUUCUCCCCCUCUUGCUCUCAUUUGGGGAUAAGAGUGGUUUAUCAAGUACCUCCACUCUUUCUGACACUCUACUGCAGGAAAAAUAUAAUUUAGUGACACCUUGUCAUCAGUAA